AUAGGCAACACCUGCAGCACAGGAGAAGUUGUGUAAACUCAGCAUUUUUUCAAAACAAUUGGAAACAGAAGGAGGAUUUGGCAGGACUGUGAAAGAGCCUUCAGAGAUGGAAAAAGAAGAAGAAGCCACCAUCUUAAGCUGCAGGAAGUGUACUGAAGUACAACAGGAAGACUUAUUACAAGUAACUGCCUGGAGACAUCAUUACAUGGUUCUGGCACUCAGCACUUCUCCAAGAUACUCAGUGGAUUGUUGCUUCUUUUACAUUUUGG
rnacentral:lncRNA from 1 species